UAUAAAUAUAAUGUUUAAAAAAUAAUUUUAAAUUAUUUUAAUGUUAAUGUGGUAUGAUAGUAUAUUGUAUAAGUGUUUUUUUUUUUCAUGCAGAUUGUACAGGUGGUAUUAAUGAGUCAAAUUUCAAACAUCACACGUCUUUGUAGUAAACAGACAAAGUAAUUAUUUGCCAGACAUUUUCUUUGAUCUUUUCUUUUGAUCUUUUCUUUGAUCUUUCUUUGAUCUUCUAGACAAAAUACAGCAAGUCACUAUAGUCACUACAGUCAUUAUAGUCAUUAAUUUAAGACGUUUUUCUUGACAGAAGAAACCUCCACUUGUCUGCCACAUUUUUAAUAAAUGGCAAAAAUGUGAAUAUCUCAUAAAAAAGAAAGAUAAAAAUGAAUUGUGGAAACUGCUACAGAAAAUCAAGCUAAUUUGUCUUGUGACUAAAAUACACUAUGUGGCUAAAAGUGGUUGAGGAAUAAAACGCUCCAGUAAACUUAAUAAUUAGACUAAUAUCUGCACCUGCACAUAAAUAAAUAUUCAACAUUAUUCAUGAGAAAAGUGAAGGGGUGUGUAAAAAAAAAUUUAACAAAUCAUGAGUCCUUGAGAAGGUUUUUGAAGCCCUGUGUUAAGUUAAGCUAGCUAAACUUUAUUUCAUUUAUGUAUUAUUUAUUAUUAAAAAUGUUUUGUGGUGACCUGAAUGUUAACAAUAAAUGGAAAACUAAUAAGAAAUCAGAAAAGGUUUUAAUGUUCAGCCAGGAAAACUAUAAUAAUUAAUAGAAUAUAAUGUUAAAUGUUAAAUAAAGCAUAUUUAAGUUAAAAUACAACAAAAAAUAAAACCCUACAGACAGUCAUAAAAUCAGUAUUCCAGUAACAUGAGGUUAUAUAUAAAUUCAAAUUGAUCAUAAAUUGAUCCAGAAAGUACUCUGCACCUUUUCCUCAGAUAAAUGAAUUUAUUUUAUAGACAGUGGUUUAGGAGGUGAACAUCUUCAUGAUUCUCUGUUCCUGUGUUUUUUAAGGCAUGAGACGACGUCUGUAUCCUUGAGCAAUGUUCGGCGUCCCUUCCCCACUCAGCAUGCUUCAUUCCCAGUGCGUCCAGCUCCUGUGUCUCACGGCGUCCAGCGGCGUUCCGCUCUUCUCCCGCGGCUCCGCCAAGCAGCUGCCCUUCUCCAUCAUUGGUUCCCUGAACGGCGUGCACAUGUUCGGGAUGGGUCACGAUGCCGCUCUGUCCUGCUGCGAGACUGAACAAGGUGGACGUGUGCUCUGGAGAGUCUUCCACGACAGCCUGAUGCUCAUCGGCAUCAGCAGCAACGCUAACGUGAGCGAGCUGCACUUGCGCCGUUUGCUGGAGAACGCCUGGAACUGCAUGGUGCUCGUGCUGGGCCUGGACGAGCUGGCGAACGCGCGGAACAUAGAGCGGCUCAAGAGAGAGCUGCGCUCUUGUUAUCGGUUAAUCGACAUGCUGCUUGAACGCGGCGUGGACGAUCGUGAUCGUGAUCAGGGCCUCAUGGGAGAUCUGACGCACUGCACUGACUGUAUACUGCUCCCUCAACCUGACCUCCUCCAGGAGACGCUGGAGUCCUUCACCCGGGCUGCAGAGAGCGAGUUUGGCUGUUUGCUUAUCCGCGGUCGACUCGCAGUAGCUACGGAGAAAUGGUGGCGUCUCGCUCCACAAGAGCUCGUCCUUCUUUCUGCCCUCGCAAAUUUGCCCCCUGGGAAAACAUCAUGUGACUAUCCAGUCUUUUUACCCCAAGGUAGCCCUAAUGUCGCGCUCAGGCUGCUGUGCUUCCAGCUGCUCCCUGGUGCCAUAGCUUGUGUCCUGUGUGGUCCAAGACCGUCUCUGUAUCAGGUCGAGAAUGAGCAGGUCUGCAGGUUUUGGUCUCCCGUGGUGGAGAACCUGCGAUCCUGCUCGGACCAAGCCGAACGCUCGGCUCUGUCUCCUUCCGUUAGCCUCCGCAGGGACGUCCUAGCUCUUCUCUUAAUAAACCGCGAGUCGCGUAGAUCAGUGGCAUCUCUCGGCCACGCCUGCUCGAAAGCCACGCCUCUUCUCUCACCGGCUCGGCGCUGGGAGCUUCUGCGCCUCUUUUACACGUUUGCAGUGACUCGCUAUUUCACCUCGGAGGAGUCUCCGAGCUCAGAGUGUCCUCCUGCAGAGCUCCAUGAGGAGUUUUCCGCAGGGUUCACUCACCUGCCCGUGCACUGCUACCUCGUGACUGAUGAAUGUAAAUGCUACGCCGUGCAGACGCCUCAGCACCAGCUCUUCCUCCUCACUGACCUCUCCGUGCCCACAUUCGCGUUGCGCUCCGCCACCACACACACUCUGGAUGCCAUCACCACGGCGACUGGCUUUUAGGGCGCCAGACAGUGUAGGAGUAAUCACUUGGAUUAUAUGGUGCUAUUUUGGAGGUUUUGGCAAAGUGAGAUGUACACAAAGUCUAAAAGGGUUGGCAUUUGUCUAAAAAAAAAUAAUAAUAGUGUGCAUGGCUGAUUUUCCUGUAUAUUUAAUACAAGAAUUGAAAACAGAAUGUGAUUAAAAACACAGGCAGGGUGAAAAUUAACAAUAUUGCUGCACUAAUUAGUCAAAUCAUGAAAAGGCAGAAUAUCACUGUAACUUUUUUUUAAAGAAUCAUUUCACCUGUAAUAGUCCCAAAUUACUUCCUAUUCAUUACAAAUGCUCACUACAUAGGGUCUAACAUACAAAUGGAAGAAUGACUGUUGCUUAAUUACUUAUAUAUAAUUUCACUUUUAGCAGCCAUGAUUUAAAAAUAUCGAACAUAAAGUUCAUCAUUAAUGCAUUUCUUUUUCAAGUCCUUUUUCUACAAUACCACUAGGCUCAUUUCCCAGAGCUACAUUAGAUGAUGUAGGAUCUAAUGAACAAUAUGGAUAUUUUUUCCCUUUAAAUAUUAUGAAAUUGUUUAUAGCACUUGAACAGUGAAAUUCUGACAUCUGUAAAGGAAUUAUGAAAUAAUAACAAUGCAAGCAAAUGCAGAACUGAGCUGUGUAGCCAAGAAUGUAAUCAGCAGUAUUUAUUAGUAUCACUAAUCUAAGAUGAUUUGUAGCAUUUUAUCGUUUUUAGCUUUAGUGUUGUUAUCCAGCUAGCCCAAUAGUCUGCCUCUUUAAACUCAGUGCACACACCAACAGUGUGAUAAACAGCGAUCAGUCUAGAAAUAUUCUUAUUUUUGUUAAAUUAUGAAUUAUUAUACAUUUUUCCUCCAUCUUGCUCCUGUCAAAAGUUGUGUUCUAAUUGAGUUGAUGCAGUGUUUACAGUGCAGUAAUUGAAUUAAGUGGAAAAGACACUUUAGCAGGAGGCAGCUUUAGUAGGAAGCAAUCAUGCAGGAAGUCUAUAAAAUGCGAAUGACUUUGAUAAAUAAGUGAAAUGUUCCCGUGUCUCUUGUUGUGAUGUGGGCAGCACGGUGGCCUCCCAUCCAGCGUGGUUCUCCCAGCGUUCCCGGGAUAGGCUCUGGAUCCACCGGAUCCUGACCAGGAUAAAGUUCUGACUUACUGAAGAUAAAUGAAUGAAUAUACACAGUCAUCACCAUUCUGCGUAAACGCUAGAGACAAUUGUGUGUGAAAAUCCCAGGAGAUUUUUCCGAAAUUCUCAAACCAGCACUAAGUCUGACACCAACAGCCGUGUCAGGGUCCAGGUCACUGAGAUCACAUUUUUCUCCCAUUCCGAUGUUUGAUGUGAACCUUAACUGAAGUUCUGGACCUGUAUCUGCGUGAUUUUCUGCAUUGCGCUGCUGCCACAUGAUUGGCUGAUCGAAUAAUAGCACGAACAUGCAGGUGUACAGGUGUUCCUAAUAAAGGGGCCAGUGAGUGUAUACAUACGUCCAUAGCACUUGAACUAUGCUGAAUGUUCUGCUCCAGUCUACUGAAUAUCAGAAGUGCAGCUGUGUAUGAAUACUGUACAACAGAAUUCAAUACUACAUUGUAUUUUCAUUAACAAGUUCUCAUCAGUCUUAUUGAUUGAAUUAACUCUUUAAUUAUAUGAAAAGGUUUUGUGUAGCUUUAAAACAUCGACCAGGAAGAGUAAGAAAAGUUAAAACUGUGUUUAAAAACAUGUUUAUCUGCUUUUCACGAUUUUGUAAUAGGUUUGAAAUUCUUUUCUUAACAAUACACAACUAAUUAUAUCAUUAUCCAAAGAAGAGUCGUUCCUAUUUUGUAUUUUAUUGCAGUUAUUCUUUGUAUUAAAUCAUU